GACGGGGGGGGGUGCUUACCAUGCAAGUCGAACGAUGAUCCCAGCUUGCUGGGGGAUUAGUGGCGAACGGGUGAGUAACACGUGAGUAACCUGCCCUUGACUCUGGGAUAAGCCUGGGAAACUGGGUCUAAUACCGGAUACGACCAUCUGGCGCAUGUCAUGGUGGUGGAAAGCUUUUGUGGUUUUGGAUGGACUCGCGGCCUAUCAGCUUGUUGGUGGGGUAAUGGCCUACCAAGGCGACGACGGGUAGCCGGCCUGAGAGGGUGACCGGCCACACUGGGACUGAGACACGGCCCAGACUCCUACGGGAGGCAGCAGUGGGGAAUAUUGCACAAUGGGCGCAAGCCUGAUGCAGCGACGCCGCGUGAGGGAUGACGGCCUUCGGGUUGUAAACCUCUUUCAGUAGGGAAGAAGCGAAAGUGACGGUACCUGCAGAAGAAGCGCCGGCUAACUACGUGCCAGCAGCCGCGGUAAUACGUAGGGCGCAAGCGUUAUCCGGAAUUAUUGGGCGUAAAGAGCUCGUAGGCGGUUUGUCGCGUCUGCUGUGAAAGACCGGGGCUCAACUCCGGUUCUGCAGUGGGUACGGGCAGACUAGAGUGCAGUAGGGGAGACUGGAAUUCCUGGUGUAGCGGUGAAAUGCGCAGAUAUCAGGAGGAACACCGAUGGCGAAGGCAGGUCUCUGGGCUGUAACUGACGCUGAGGAGCGAAAGCAUGGGGAGCGAACAGGAUUAGAUACCCUGGUAGUCCAUGCCGUAAACGUUGGGCACUAGGUGUGGGGGACAUUCCACGUUUUCCGCGCCGUAGCUAACGCAUUAAGUGCCCCGCCUGGGGAGUACGGCCGCAAGGCUAAAACUCAAAGGAAUUGACGGGGGCCCGCACAAGCGGCGGAGCAUGCGGAUUAAUUCGAUGCAACGCGAAGAACCUUACCAAGGCUUGACAUGAACCGGUAA
rnacentral:rRNA from 1 species